UACAGAGGGGGCAAGCGUUAUUCGGAAUUAUUGGGCGUAAAGGCGCGUAGGCGGCCUGGCAAGUGGAAGGUGAAAUCCCUCGGCUUAACCGAGGAACUGCCCUCCAAACUGCUUGGCUUGAGUCCGGGAGAGGUGAGUGGAAUUCCCAGUGUAGCGGUGAAAUGCGUAGAUAUUGGGAGGAACACCAGUGGCGAAGGCGGCUCACUGGACCGGAACUGACGCUGAGGCGCGAAAGCGUGGGGAGCAAACGGG
rnacentral:rRNA from 1 species